rnacentral:rRNA from 1 species
UACGUAGGUGGCAAGCGUUGUCCGGAUUUAUUGGGCGUAAAGGGAGCGCAGGCGGUGACUUAAGUCUGAUGUGAAAGCCCACGGCUCAACCGUGGAAGGUCAUUGGAAACUGGGUCACUUGAAUAUAGAAGAGGAAAGUGGAAUUCCAUGUGUAGCGGUGAAAUGCGUAGAUAUAUGGAGGAACACCAGUGGCGAAGGCGACUUUCUGGUCUGUAACUGACACUGAGGCGCGAAAUCGUGGGGAGGCAAACAGGAUUAGAUACCCGGGUAGU